rnacentral:lncRNA from 1 species
UUACAAACUCGAUGCUAACUUCUUUCAUACUUGUAAGCUUUAACUUGAAACACCCAAGUACUCUACAUUUUAUAAUAAACUAGGAUUAGUACCCGCCGCAAUGCGGCGGGCAAACCAUGCCAUAAUUUGCAAACUUAGACCUCAAACCAAGUUAACUUGCUCAUAAAGUCAAAGCCAAAAGCAAAUGUAAAUUAAGCUAUGGCUAAAAAAACACCCAGAGUUCAAGUUUCUAAUAAGUACAACUUUUUGUAGCAUCUGCAACUAAGACUUCAGAAGGUUUUCCAUGUGGGCCUGCAUAAAAAAAGAUGCUAAGUGUUCGUAAUCCUCCGCGAAAAAGGGACCUACACUAAGACACUGCUUGAUAGUAAAAUGCAGACGAACCGAACAUAAAACAAAAGAUACGAAUAAAGAAAAUGAAUCAA